rnacentral:sRNA from 1 species
CUGCAGCCCGGCUUGAGCGGAAAUCCUUUUUUGUAUUGGCAAAAGCGUUGGCAAAAAAGAUUGGGAGCGGAAGACGGAUAAAGC